rnacentral:misc_RNA from 1 species
GAUGAAGAACGUAGCGAAAUGCGAUAAGUAAUGUGAAUUGCAGAAUUCAGUGAAUCAUCGAAUCUUUGAACGCACAUUGCGCCCGCUGGUAUUCCGGCGGGCAUGCCUGUUCGAGCGUCAUUUCAACCCUCAAGCUCUCCGGAGUUUGGUGUUGGGGCGCCUGGGGCUUUUCGACCUCAGGGCCCUCAAGUCCAUCGGCGGGACCGCCAGGACACUGAGCGCAGUAGUAUUAUUUCGCUCGGUAGGAUCUUCCACGGCGGGUCGAUCUGGCCGCUAAACCCCCCAAUUCUCACCAAAGGUUGACCUCGGAUCAGGUAGGAAUACCCGCUGAACUUAAGCAUAUCAAUAAGCAGAGGA